CGCGCGUCUCGGGGAGUUGAUGGCAGCACCACAGUGCGGCCGCCGGGCGAGGCGCCGAGCGCAGCCACCCCCGCCGCGCAGAGUGCUUCCAAGAUGCUGGGCGAUUGGGGCGGCAGCGGUCGCAGCAGCGCCAGGGACGGGGGCGCGCAGCACCUCCGCUUGCCCCCCUCCGCUGACCUGCCUCGUUUGGCCCCAAAGAAUGUCCUCCAAGUCCAAGGGGACCCCCUCCUCGUCCUCUCUCGCCGAGGGACCGCCGGCAGGCUCCAAGACCAAGGUGAAGGAACAGAUCAAGAUCAUCGUGGAGGAUCUGGAGUUAGUCCUGGGCGACCUGAAGGACGUGGCCAAGGAACUUAAGGAGGUGGUUGACCAGAUUGAUACCCUGACCUCUGACCUACAGCUGGAGGAUGAGAUGACCGACAGCUCCAAAACGGACACCCUGAAUAGUAGCUCAAGCAGCACGACAGCCUCCAGCCUAGAGAAGAUCAAAGUGCAGGCCAAUGCACCACUCAUUAAACCCCCAGCACACCCAUCUGCUAUCCUCACGGUCCUGAGAAAGCCAAACCCUCCACCGCCUCCACCGAGGUUGACACCCGUGAAGAGUGAAGACCCCCAAAGGGUGGCGCCCGCUGUCAAUCCUGUAAAGACCAAUGGCACCCUUCUGCGGAAUGGUGGCUUACCAGGAGCACCAAACAAAAUCCCCAAUGGAGACAUCUGCUGCACACCCGGUAGCAACUCGGACAAGGCGCCCGUGCAGCCUCUGAUGCAUAGACCUGAAAAAGACAGGUGUCCCCAGGCAGGGCCUCGGGAAAGGGUUCGGUUUAAUGAAAAAGUGCAGUACCAUGGCUAUUGUCCUGACUGUGAGACCCGGUAUAACAUAAAAAACCGGGAGGUCCAUUUGCACAGUGAACCUGUCCAGCCGCCAGGAAAGCUUCCUCCCCAAGGCCCUCCCCGCCCUCCUCCACCGCAUCUCCCUCCAUUUCCACUGGAAAAUGGGGGACCCGGAAUAAGCCACAGUAACAGCUACCCCCCUCUCAGACCUGCAACUGUGCCUCCUCCCACUGCACCAAAACCACAGAAGACGAUCUUGAGGAAAUCAACCACUACAACAGUGUGAUGUAUGCCAUUUAAAAACACUUUUUAUUUUAUUUUCAUUUUUAUAUUAUAAACAUAAUAAGUAAUGAGCACUUUCUACUCAAGCAAUAAAAAGCCCAAAUAUAUUAAUCCUGCAUUCAGCAAAGUGGCAUAAAAAUCACCUGCUCCUUCAGAUUGGAAGGAAAUCUUUAUUUGGAGGCAUGUCAGCUCAUUUUUCUCACUUCAGAUUCAUCAUUAUGACUUCUUGAGGCCAGAUGUAAUUUUGAAAUAACCAGGAACUUGUCCAUCUCAGAGCAGCAAAUUCCCUCAACUUUGGAGCACAAGUGAUUACUGAUAUGGUCUGCAUAAAAUCAUCUGCCUCUAGUCUGACAGCCAUGAGCAGAGCCCUAGGGGUGAAAAAAAGCCACAGCCUUAAAUCUCUUCACUCAGAAAUUAUCAAGAAGAUUUAAAAAAUAUAUAUAUGAAAAGGACUAAAUAAUUCAGCCAACAAAAAACAGAAACCAAACAAAACCCAUCUUCCUUCACCAUGAAAAUAAAUAUUCCCAGAUGUGAACCCAUGAAAAUGUAUAUUCGGCAGUUAAGCUAGUAAAUUAUUAUCAAUUGAUUUAUCAUUUGGGAAGGUAAAAUAGAGAUAGGAAAUAUCUCUAGUCAGAAUUACUCAGCAUUUCAAAAUAAAUAUGUAGACAAAAAUAAACUGAACAAACAGAGGAGCAUUGCAGCAAUGAACAGUAGUAUUAGGACAGAAUGUUGCUGUUUGCAGAGAGGAUGUUUGCCAUCUUGUGUAUACCCUUAAAGCCAUAAUGGAAUAACAGCAUUAUUGUCAAUUGCUUGAAAUGUUUCUGCAUUCAGUCCUUCACUCCAUAUUGUUUGAGAGAGGGGGGAAGUCAGUCUUACUGAUUAUUUCUCAAUGCACUUCUAAUAUUUGCACUGUCACUUCCAUUCAGGGUAAUGAUGUGUGCUGUUAUUUGCACAGAUGGUCCCAUGAGUUUUGAGACCACAACAAGCAGUUUCUUGCAGGAGUCCAAAAAGGAAACACUUAAGAAUUCUGCAGACAUUGAUUUCUCUUCUAUAAAAAUCAGUUAUCUAAAAAAAAAAGGUUUGUCUCAGAUUAAAAUAAUAACUAUAGAAUAAUAACAAAAAAGCAUCAGUGUGGUCAAAUGAAUGAAAAAGGGAUCAAAUUUUUUUAAUGAAGAUCAUUUUAUAUCAUUAACAGCCAAGAAGUCAAAUACAGUGAACUGUACACUAAACUUUUGUGUUGAACAUCUAUUUGUUCUCUGAAUUAAAAAAAUCAUUUGUAAUUUGUAUUUGACAUAUAACAACAGUUUUUUAUAGCCAUUUAUCUAUGCUUCAUGGGAUAAUGUACCAGACAAACAGCAU